AACCUCCGCAAUGUGAGAAAUCGCGACGGGGGGAUCCCAAGUGCCAUUCUUAACGGGAUGGCUUUUCAUUAGUGUAAAGAGCUUUUGGAAUAAGGGCUGGGCAAGACCGGUGCCAGCCACCGCGGUAACACCGGCAGCUCUAGUGGUAGCAGUUUUUAUUGGGCCUAAAGCGUCCGUAGCCGGUUUAAUAAGUCUCUGGUGAAAUCCUGUAGCUUAACUGUGGGAAUUGCUGGUGAUACUGUUGAACUUGAGGUCGGGAGAGGUUAGCGGUACUCCCAGGGUAGAGGUGAAAUUCUGUAAUCCUGGGAGGACCACCUGUGGCGAAGGCGGCUAACUGGAACGAACCUGACGGUGAGGGACAAAGGCUAGGGGCGCGAACCGGAUUAGAUACCCGGGUAGUCCUAGCCGUAAACGAUGCGGACUUGGUGUUGGGAUGGCUUUGAGCCGCUCCGGUGCCGAAGGGAAGCUGUUAAGUCCGCCGCCUGGGAAGUACGGUCGCAAGACUGAAACUUAAAGGAAUU
rnacentral:rRNA from 1 species